GAUAACAGGCUGAUCUUCCCCAAGAGUCCAUAUCGACGGGAUGGUUUGGCACCUCGAUGUCGGCUCGUCGCAUCCUGGGGCUGGAGUCGGUCCCAAGGGUUGGGCUGUUCGCCCAUUAAAGCGGUACGCGAGCUGGGUUUAGAACGUCGUGAGACAGUUCGGUCCCUAUCCGCUGUGCGCGUAGGAAUAUUGAGAAGGGCUGUCCCUAGUACGAGAGGACCGGGACGGACGAACCUCUGGUGUGCCAGUUGUUCUGCCAAGGGCAUGGCUGGUUGGCUACGUUCGGAAAGGAUAACCGCUGAAAGCAUCUAAGCGGGAAGCCUGCUUCGAGAUGAGUGUUCCCACCACCUUGAGUGGUUAAGGCUCCCAGUAGACGACUGGGUUGAUAGGCCAGAUGUGGAAGCCCGGUAACGGGUGGAGCUGACUGGUACUAAUAGGCCGAGGGCUUGUCCUCAGUUG
rnacentral:rRNA from 1 species